rnacentral:rRNA from 1 species
CCUACGGGAGACAGCAGUGAGGAAUAUUGGUCAAUGGGCGGGAGCCUGAACCAGCCAAGUCGCGUGAAGGAAGAAGGUACUUAGUAUUGUAAACUUCUUUUGUCGGGGAACAAAGGCGGAGACGCGUCUCCGGCUGAGUGUACCCGAAGAAAAAGCAUCGGCUAACUCCGUGCCAGCAGCCGCGGUAAUACGGAGGAUGCGAGCGUUAUCCGGAUUUAUUGGGUUUAAAGGGUGCGUAGGCGGGCUUUUAAGUCAGCGGUAAAAAUUCGGGGCUCAACCCCGUCCGGCCGUUGAAACUGGGGGCCUUGAGUGGGCGAGAAGAAGGCGGAAUGCGUGGUGUAGCGGUGAAAUGCAUAGAUAUCACGCAGAACCCCGAUUGCGAAGGCAGCCUUCCGGCGCCCUACUGACGCUGAGGCACGAAAGUGCGGGGAUCGAACAGGAUUAGAUACCCUAGUAGUC